CUCAGAGCGCCUUUAAUAACACUGCUUGACGGGUUCUCUUAUUCCUUCUCUGGACAAUGUCUCUACUUGGUUAUUGCGCAUUUCUUUAAAUGCAAUUGAUAUUGAUGAAAUUGAGACAUCUGUGUUAGCUGUGCAAAUUGGUAAUAAGCAGGGAUAGGGUGGUUUCCAAAAAGGGAAAGGAAAAGGCUUUAAAUCUCAUUGUACCUAUUCUGACAAAAAUGGCCACAUUGGAGAUUCUUAUUGGGCAUUGCAUGGCCGACAACCACGCACCAAUCAAUCCAACAUAAGCCGACCUGUUGCUCAUGUGGCUUAGACCCAUGGGGAUGGACUUCUUCCGUUAUUUGAUGAGAAAGAUCAACAGUCCAAUUUCGUUGUCUUAACUGGAGCUGACUACAAUGAGUACUUGCAGUAUC
rnacentral:misc_RNA from 1 species